AUCGUCAUCUAUACGGGUACAGAGGAAUGUCACCGUCGGCUUCAGCACCUCCACCUCCGUAGCUUCCGUGCUUCACCACCAUCUCCGUUGCGUUUCCUUCGUCACACCACCAGAUCCGGCAUGUCUGUUCCGUCACGAUACCACCUCCAGCGCGUUUCCUCCGUCACGCCACCACCUCCGACGUGUCUGCUUCUUCUCAGAUCUGUAAACUAAACAAAGAAAAACAAUUAGAAAUAGCUUAAGAGAUGCAGAGAAAGAGAUUAGAAGAGGAGUGAAACACCUUGCUUCUUCACAAACGAUGAAUAAAGAGGAUGAAACACAGAGUCAUGAAAUCGGCUUUGUCUCUACGACAAUGGCGACUAAUGCUAACGACGGCAUGUGUGAAUGGAGGUAGAGUAGGGAUAGACAUGGAGAUGAAUGGAGAUUGAGCAAAUGAUAUAAGUUGAGAUUGAGAAGAAGAGGAGAAAAAGAGUAGAUGAGGAGCAGAAGAUGGAGUACGUGAGGAGAAGAAAGAAUAAUCUUAGUCAAAAACAAAGAAAGAGGAGAUGAGACGAUGGAGCUUGUGAGGGGAGAAGGGAAGAAAAAGUUAAAACAAAACCAAAUCAAUCUGAUCCGUUGGAUCUAAUAUUAUCAAUGGUUAGGAACAGAAAACGGUGAACCACACUAUUCCAAAAUGAACCAAUAAGAAAUCAGCACUCUAUUUCUUUAAUAGUUUAUUAUUAGAUUCCAUAGUUUAGGAUUAUAUUUAUGUUUUUGUUGUAUGUUUUGAUUUCAAUAGAAUUGCAACUUAGAUAUAUUAGAAUUUGGGUUUGAUAAUUAAAAGUUUAAAGUUGAAAGUUUAUAUUAAUGAUUA
rnacentral:lncRNA from 1 species